GCUUAGCUCAGCUGGGAGAGCGCCUGCUUUGCACGCAGGAGGUCAGCGGUUCGAUCCCGCUAGUCUCCACCAUUAU
rnacentral:tRNA from 1 species